rnacentral:tRNA from 1 species
GGGCCUGUAGCUCAGUUGGUUAGAGCGCACCCCUGAUAAGGGUGAGGUCACCGGUUCGAAUCCAGUCAGGCCCA